UCCCGAAUCAUCCUGCCAUGUAUAACAUUGGAGACAAUAUCGUAAUUAUCAUUUGUUAUAGUAUUAUGUACUUCCUUGUACUUAUGCUCGACAAUGUUCGUGGAGGCCUACGGAUCUGUUCGAUCUGAUCAGUUAUGUCCAUCAAAGCACAAACAUACAUUUCUUUGUAUUUGUAUAUCUGAACCCUUAUUGAACUUCCCUGAACUACACAGAAGACAAAACUAAACGAACAACAUAACCCUAUUAUACUUAUUUUCGAUGGCAGUGAUUAUACCCGAUGCAUCUGAAAAUAUCGAGCCACAGACUGACGUGGCUUCCAGUGCCUCUGUCCCCAUGAUGACCAUGAUGUCACCAGCUGCAGAGGAAAUCAUUGUGGCGGAAAUUGAGCCACCGCUUCGGCUGCCGCUUCCACUUCGGCGCAGCGAACGCAUCAAGUCUGCCCAAAAAAAGAAGCAGCGCAAACUGAAGACGCAUCCUAUGAUUCUUCGAAGCCAUUUGGCUCGUCAAAAUAAAGUCAAAAACAUCGCUGCUCGUAAGAUUCGCAAGAGCGGUGUAAAGAAGACACAGAUCACCAAGAAGAAAACAACACACCACAUUUACGUUCAGAUCAGGGGGAAACUUUUCAAGCUCUAACCAAAUCACCAAAAAAAAUCGAUUUGUUCCACAAAAAAUAUGGUAUACAAACACAGUUUAGGCUAAAAUAAACUAUUCUAUUUGUAAUUGAAUAAAUUCCAGUAA